UUUAAUGUUACCCCCAUAACAUUACUCUACCCAAUGAGUUGAAUUUCUGAACGCACCCCAAUAUGGCUGCGCAACGAUAACCGUUUUCGCGCCAUUUUGCGACACCGAAGGACACAAAGGCAGUAUACUAAUACUUUAGACUUUAGAUCUAAAUUUCUGAAAUUUCCAUACAAAUUAUAUAAGAUGAGCAUGGAUCAAUUGGUAUGCUAUAUACACGCUAAUUAACAGCAUGUCAAAUAAUGAUAAUGUAGCAGAACAGCAAAAGAAACGAUUUAAGUUGAUGAAAGAAAUGGCUGUUCUCGAGAUUGCGUUUUUCAUAGAACACAUAAUCAAAUCUAUUGAAUCCAUGAAUGAGGAUUAUAACAUCUCUUGAGAGAGAGAGAGAAGAUUAAUAAGAAUGUUGUCACCUGCAAAAUACAAAAGAAUAUAUUAUUUAUUCAACUAAAAAGAAAAAGUUAUGUUUUUAACAUAAUCAAUAAUGUUAUCCUUGCUAUAAAAGGAAAAAAUCGAAUCUCUUUUUAUUCAACAGAUGUAUAUAUUAUUUAUAGCUCCUUCAAAAUUACCUGGAAGCUGAAUCCACGAAGAAGAUUGAAUUGAUCAACAUCAAUCUAUAAACAGUUAAUUGGCAACUUCAUAAAUAGAAAUUCUACAAUGCUGAUUCGACAUGCUGUACUUAUGCUGACAGGAUUGAAUUUUAGCAGUCGAACAAAUUCGAGCGACUUCAAGAGAACGGACGGUCGAGAUUCGCCGUGAUACCCGCGAUUAAUCAUCAGGAGGCUCCCUGAUAUACACGCUUAAAGGUUGCUGGCGAAAGGGGGAGAGAAACGGUAGCCGACUUGGCCGGUCUCAACCGACCUUCCGUACCACGGCGCCAUUUUUUUGCGCCAUCCGUUAUAAUUGCCAGGGCCUUGUCACUUUUGCGAGCUUUCGCAGUGAGGUACCUGAAGUGUAUGUUGCCCCGUGCCGGUUCUCCUACACCGAGGCGGCUUCCUCAAAGCGACCAGAGGAACGAAGGAAGAAAGGAGGGGAUGGACAAUGAGCGGAAGACGAAGGAUCAGAAACGAGAUAAAGAUAAAUCUCAGAACUUGAGCGAGCAAAUUGUAAAGGAAAAAAAUCACAUGGUACAUAAUGGACUCGCCAAGAUGAGUUGAGAAAGAACAAGGGAUGAAGAAUGAGAUAUACAAAUGGAUACAGUAGCGCAACAAGAGCAAAUCAUUGGUUCAGCUCGGGAUUCGAAGCGGAUUACUGUUGGAAUAAUAAUAACGACGAGACACGCUGUGCAUAUGCACGCGUGUGCAUCAGGGAUGACCGCAUGUGAUGACUUCUGAGCUAUGCGGUCCAUUUUUCCUCGGUACAGACACGCGAGAAAGUCAACAAGCAAGAAGUUCCUUUUGAAAAACGCGAAACUCAACAUUACAAUGGAGGUACAAAUUAAUAUGUAAAAAGAUUCUACGAUUUAAAGAGACCUACGCAUCCUGAAGAAGACGUAGUGGGGACAAGAAAACAUAUGGUUCUCGCUGAUUGUGAUAAAAAUUAUAAAAAGGCAUAAGACAACGAGGAGAAAUACCUUCGAGGAGAGUGCGCGGCACAAAGGAACCUGCUGUUUACGAACUACCCGCGUCUCAUACGCACCAGCUGUAAAUUAUCAUGUAUUCAGCAGAAUCCACUCGACACAAUGAAAGUUGCUUUGCUCAUUGUCGGUCGAUACGCUCCUGGAUCAGAGGAGAGAGGCGAAGAAGAGAAAAGAGGAGAGGAAGAAAUAAAAAGGCAGAACUGGCAAAAGAGGCAAAACCGCGUUAUGUUACUCUCUCUCGUCCCAUUCUCCGACCGUCUUGCUCUUCUCGUCGUAUGCUGGUGCUUGGAGUUGCUUCUACUGCACGAUGGAGUAAUGUAUAGUACGGAGAUUACCAUUUCUUUCUGUUUGCCACGACACAUUGAAAAACAUAUUCGGGAUAUCGAAACAACAGAUAAAUCUUUCCGAAGGAAUCUAAGAUAUUCAAACGUUGAGUUGUUUUGCAAAUGAGACGGCAGCUCGAUCAAUUUCAUCACGUUGGCGUCUUCUGCGUGACACAGGCAGGUUUGUAUGAUCCCGCAUUGGAAGUAAUAUGUACAAUCAUAAAGGAGUUUUAUGGAGUCGAGACGAGAUUAAAGCUCCGAUUUGGGAAGGACUGUUAGAUCCAAGAGGUCCACUCCGAUUUUUCUCCGUAUAUGAAGAGCCGCAUCGUGCUGUGAGAAUCGUUGCACGGGAUGAUUUGACGUAAUCACCUUCUUGCCGCGAAAGGAUUCGAGGCUACCGCAGUACGCUUAUAUUCUGCCACUGUCUCCUCAUCUCUCUCGCGGUGUUCAUUUACUUUAUUUCUUUGUGCUUUUUCUCUUCUUCUUCGUCCCCCUGCCGUUCGUUCUCACAUUGCUCGCUUUUUCUCGCGCCGUUCUUCAUCUAUAAAAAUAUGUUUUGCCGGGCGAAAGAUUUCGUGUCUCGGAAUAUAUUACAGUUAAGCUUAUAUCGGAGACGUCUUUUCCCUCUUUUGAGAACGUGGACAAUUCCUCAUUUUCAACACAAAAGUAAGCUUAGGCCCAUCUAAUAUAUUUUGAUUCUUAAUAACGCAAAUAUUUUUAAUUAAUUAUAUUAUUUGUGUACAUAUAUUUUUU